GACGAACCGUGCGAACGUUAUUCGGAAUCACUGGGCUUAAAGGGCGCGUAGGCGGGUUCGUAAGUCUGUGGUGAAAGCCCCCAGCUUAACUGGGGAAGUGCCAUGGAUACUGCGAAUCUUGAGGAGGGUAGGGGCAUCUGGAACACUGGGUGGAGCGGUGAAAUGCGUUGAUAUCCAGUGGAACUCCGGUGGCGAAGGCGAGGUGCUGGACCCCAAUCUGACGCUGAGGCGCGAAAGCCAGGGGAGCGAACGGG
rnacentral:rRNA from 1 species